GUUUUACCGCGUUUGUUGUACCGAUCAAAAAGUUCUUCAACUUCCGUCAAACAGCGACGAUCUUCUUCCUCAUUUUCACGCACAAACUCUUCCAACGGAUACUGCAAUUACAAGAAAUAUGAGUACACCAGGUCGGAACUACUACGGAGUUACAACUAACCUCUGUAUGGCCUUUGGGAGCAAUACGUAACAGAGAAUUCUGGACUCGCUGAGGAUAAUUUUCACCAGGAAAUACACCGAGGGCAGGUCGGUUGAUGAAUCUU